GAAAGUAAAUAUCUUUUAUUACAUAUCUGCUGUUUUAACAAUUAACUCGGAUUACAGCGUUAGCCCGAGUAUCCCUGUUAUUAGUUACUGAAUUUCCAGGGAAAAAGUUCAGUAAAAAAAGUAAUCAAUUAUUAAAAGUAUUACAUAUACAUUCUUUAAAAUACAGUGUAUACAUAUAAAGUAUAGAAUUCCGUGGUAUAAAUCACGUGUUUACGGAACAUCUAUUUGCUUUCCGAAAUUGUAUUCAUUUUCCCAUAUUUAUAAUCAUUCAUUGACAGUUAUUUUGUACUUGACCUUUUGUGCUGGAUUAGUUAACCUGUUUACUAAUUCAUUGUCCGAAAACUAGUGCCAAAAAAGCACAUGUUUGUAGUUAACAAAUUGUUGGAUUAGAUUAAACUAGUUUGGUAAGUAUUAUAUAUUAUUCAUUAGUAACAAAUGUAUAUAGAAUUUAAGUGUUUUAAAAAUAUCAGGAAGUAUAGUAGAAAUAAAUAAAAAAAAAAAUGUCAACAUGUGAUUUGAUACCAACACACACAAAAUUACUUGAGGAUACUUAGUGUAAAUCAGUGAUGAAUUAUGUUCAUUUUAGCUUCAAAGUAUAAUAAAUAAAGUGUCUUGUUUUGUUUGUUUAUACAUAGAAAAAGUAGAAAACCAACAACAACAAUAUAAAGUCUAGCAAAGGUAUUUUGACUUCAAUGACCUUUAUCUACUGAGACAUCAUUCAUACAUUUCAAUUACAUAUAUUUUUGAAUAUUUUUUAGCAUCUGACUUAUUGUUUUAUUUCUAUAUUCCAUCAGAUAUUAUCUGUAUUUAUAUUCUUGUUUAAAUAUUUCAUACACAUUAACUUGAUUUGUCUUAUUAUUUGAAAUGCAAUUGCAUUUGUGCAGAGUGAAUAAAAUAACUGUCAAGAGAUAAUUAAUAUCAUUUAAUGAGUCUUCUCCUAUUUUAUAUCCUACCACCAAAUGUUUUAAAGUAAUUAUAUGCUUAUCAAUAUGAAGUUUAUUUAAUAGAAUACAGAUUUUAUUCCAAAAAACUUUAAAAUAAGUACAUUCCAUGAAAUUGUGUUGAUAAGUAUCUGGUACCCCACACACUGAACACAAAUUGGUGUUCUUAAUUUUCCAGGUGAAAAGAUGUGUACCUACAGGUAGAUGAGAUAUCAAGCUCAAAUACAACGUGAGCUUAACACAGUUCAAGAUACAUUGGUAUAAAUUUAUGUCUUUGGUUACGAACGACACGAUUUGAUAAUAGGAUGAAUUUACUUGUUUUACAUGAAGACUAAAGUGCUUUGAUUUAGUGAUACUGAAGAUUUUUACAAGAAUACAUUUAUAUGUGAGGAUUAAUAUUGCUGGAUUUCGACUAAAAAUUCUUUCCCAGUAUCUAUACAUGUACAUGUAUAUUUGUGAGCAUUUGUAUAAUAAUACAACGUAUUGAAGCCAAAAGUCAUGAAGUUUAUGUAGAGAGAUCUUACAGUGAAGUAUUAUCCAGGUGUAAAUAUGGACUGUACUUAAAUGUUGCUGGAUAACUGUUUGAUUCAUAGAUUUAUUUUUUCGACAGCAUAGGAUUGGAAUUUUGAGAUUCUUACUCCAGUUAAUCUGUAGGAAGUAGGAAUUUCUUUGCAAACUGUUUUCCAAACUAUGAUGAUACUUAUAUAAAGGGAUUGAUAUUGCAAAUUUGUGGAAUAUUAUUAGAUAUUUAUAGUAUAUAAGUAUAUACAUAUUAAUCUGAUUAAUAAAUGUUAUGUUUAUUAAAGAACAUUCUCUAGU